rnacentral:rRNA from 1 species
UACGGGGGGUGCAAGCGUUAAUCGGAGUAACUGGGCGUAAAGGGCACGCAGGCGGACUUUUAAGUGAGAUGUGAAAGCCCCGGGCUUAACCUGGGAAUUGCAUUUCAGACUGGGAGUCUAGAGUACUUUAGGGAGGGGUAGAAUUCCACGUGUAGCGGUGAAAUGCGUAGAGAUGUGGAGGAAUACCGAAGGCGAAGGCAGCCCCUUGGGAAUGUACUGACGCUCAUGUGCGAAAGCGUGGGGAGCAAAC